rfam:Schistosoma mansoni strain Puerto Rico chromosome W, complete genome
GCACUACUGACGAGUCUCACAAUAGGACCAAACGACCGUCCAGUGC